CUGGCCUAUCAUGCUUUAAAAUUUGUUUCUCUUUCAACAUUUCUCUUUUCCUUCUUAUCACAUACACAACUUCCACAAAUUUCACACUUUCAAAUUAGCCUUCAAACCUUCUUCCUAUGUCCUUCAAAAAUGCGUAACCAUGCAUUAGACCUUCCAUUAAGUAUUUCUACUCUAAUUUUCUGUCAUACCAUCAGUACCUUUAGAGACCUUUUCUUUCUUUUUUUCUUUAAAAUGUAUUAGAAUUCUUCAGUCUCAGAAACCUUAAUUUUUCAAUGAGUACCAAAAAGUAAACAGCCAGCAUUUCUUAGAUUAACAUUUAUGAACACACUCUAAACAUACUCUUACUUUCAAGAAAAUAUACCUUCAACAAAGUACA